UCUAGGAUCACCGCAAGGCUUAAGGUGCUGCGAUCGUGCUUGUCAACUUGUCAAAAAAGUUGCCAACACAAAUUAGGCCAUUUUCUCCAUUUCUUCUAUCUGCACAAUGCUAGCUCUCAGUUGAUUCUAUCGCGUCCAUGGCCGGUGCUUCCCCUUGGCCUAACUACAUGGAUGAUCUUCUCGGCCAAUCUUACAUUUUUUUUUCCCGAUCUGUUGUCUUGCUGACCUUUUCUGAUUGGACAUUCCGCGGGAUCACUAUCAUUUCCUUGCUACUGUAUUUGUCUGUUUUCCUUGCUACUGCCUACUGGAACUCUCUGCAGCUCUAAGCGGCUACACACAUUAAUUAAAGGCCUAAGUUAACUGAAACUGAAACAAGAUGUGUAGUACAUCUAUGUCUUUAUGCAAGUUCAAGUGGUUCAUAGGCAAGAAAUUAACCAAUCAAUAUCACAGGUACCUUCUAAUCAUAGAGUUCAGUUUUACAGUUUAUGAAGACAUUAGGUUUACAUGUGAUUCCUUUGUUCAGGAUCGCAAGUUCGACCCAUUUCUGUAGUUUUUACACAGCAAAAGUUACAUUAUGUGCUAUUUCUGUACCUCACUAAUAAAAGUAUAAUACUUUACACCAUUAUAUUGGAAGAAUAUGAUCAAAUUACAAUUAAUGAUAAAUUAUU